rnacentral:rRNA from 1 species
GAGGCUGAAUGACUGGGCGAAGCCUGAUGAGCAAUGCCGCGUGAGUGAUGAAGGCCUUCGGGUUGUAAGCUCUUUUACCUUCAGGAAAAAUGACUGAACGUGGAUAAGGUGGACCGGCAAUCUUCACUCCAUGACCCCCGCCACUACUCUAUGCC